rnacentral:rRNA from 2 species
UUCAAAUAAUUUCCAUAUAUGCACCGGAUCCCAUCAGAACUCUGCAGUUAAGCGUGCUUGGGCGAGAGUAGUACUAGGAUGGGUGACCUCCUGGAAAGUCCUUGUGUUGCAC